UGAAAAAUGUUCACAGCUUUUCUCUGAAAGUUUGUUGAAAGGAGGAAAAAGACUUGUUCUGCCUUUGUUCAGUGCUGAACUGCUGCUUCAUGCAUUGUUAGUUCUGUUUUGCAUAUAUAAAUGAUGUAUUUUAAAAUAAUUUUUUACCCCUAGGAAUGGAAAGCAAAGUACCUGUCAUACUGCACUGAACAGAGAUGAAAAACCACACAUCUGCCUUCUGAACAAAAUUCUGUCCUACACUGCACUUAUUCUUGCUAUGAACAUUUCCUUGAACUGUCAUAGGAUUUCAGAAGCCCCCAACAGGAGAUGGAUGGCAUUCUAAUGUUAUCUCAUCUUUAAUUAGAUUAGAAGUUAGAAGAAUAAAGGAUUUAAUAACCUUGAAACGAUCAGCUCUCUGCUUUGUGACCACUGACGUGAAAUAAAAUGCAGUGACCAGAAGACGUCUGAAAUGAAGUCAGAUUUUAUUGUCUAAUGGACUUUCAUCAGUGUGGGAUUAAAACAAGGCUCAUAAAACCAACUGCUAUUUAGUGGUCAUGGAAAGAAAGUAAAUCUGCAAUUAAAUUAUAACGGGGGUAUGUUAAAUAGGGGUGAGUAAAGGCAGUUCAACUUAAUUAAUUAAAGCUGGAAAAUAUUUAAACUAUCAGGAACAGAUUUCUACUGAAACCAUAUGAUGAGCUUUGGCUUGAUUACCCUCAGACAGCUCACUGCUGUAUAACUCUUCAGGCAAAACACCUGCCGAGAGCCAUAUGCUGGUAAAGAGAGAUUGCAGACACAUUUUAAAGUCGAUGAAGACAGUUUGGAUUCAAGCAAAGAUUACAUAACCACCAUAGUGGUGUAGUCCUGCACGAUGCUGUCUGUGCUAUGGUUCAGUGGGGGGUGCUUCUUCAUGGAAAAGUAUUGGUUGUAUUCAGUAUUUGUCUACAUGGGCUACCAGAAGCAAUUACGGCUCAGAAAAACCUUUUCAUGAUAAUGGUGUUCUUGGAUCUUCCUGCACUGAGCAUGUCUUGACAGGGAAGUUAUGGAGUCUUCCUGCAACUCUAUUCUGUGGUACAGGUUCUGUGGCCUCAGCUGCAGCAUAUAGUCUCAUCAUGCACUGCCAAAAGUCCCAACUCUGCACUGCCUACUGUUCCUGCUUAGCCCAGGCACUGAGAGAGCAACCCAAUGAAGCCAGCAGUGCAUCCUCCUGGCAGUGCCCAGCAGCACACAUGGUCAGAAGGCCUGGGCUGAUCUGUUCUCAAGAGCAACACUGCCUGGACAACGUACAGCCAACAGGACUGUGCUGCAGCCUGCACCAUCUGUGCGUGCCUUCAUCCGCGACGUACUUCUUCAGAAAUUCUGCCACACAGGUGGGAUGUUCAGCCUUUGUUUGCUGUGCUCACCACGCCAUCCACAAGACACAAGGGAGGACCUCAGAACCGCAUGCCAGCACUGGAAGAUCCAAGCUCUUGGUGACCCACUGGAUCCAGAAUCUGCCUUUUGCCUACAGUAACAAGCAGAAGGCCAUGAUGGUGGCAGGCAAGCACAACCACCACAUCUACACCUACACUCUAGCUCUGGCUUUUACCCACAACCGUUUGUUAGCUGAUGCAUUUUAAAGAAUCUACAAGAUACUCUAAAACUGUACAGAGGAAGGCACAAUUUAGGCUUUGGGUGGCUUCUGAAGAACAACAGGGGACAGUAUCAUGGCAACAUUAUUCUCUGGAGCUGACUGCAACAGCCUCUGUUGGGCUACAGCUUAUACUAAUAAGGACAGCAAGAGUGUUUUGUCUUGAAUAAUAUUGGCUUUGGGGUCUGGCCAGGAAUAUGGUCACAAAACCAUACACACACCAUGUUGCCUGAGAUGGUGACUUAGAGAUAGCCUUUGGUUUGCAUGCUCUCAUAUCUUUAAGUGCAUAUACAGUUGCACAAAUGCACACUCAAAAGUGCUUUCAAUGCCCCCAUUUCUGGUUUCUUUUUCUAACAUACCUUCAGUGUAUCCCCAUGUACGGACAUCUCUGUAAUAGUCUAGAAGCACUCUGCAUUGUGAACAUGGAUAGAAUAACCUCAAGCAUGGUGAGGGCAUAGUCAGAGUAUCUGUUUCAUUCUCUGGGCUCAAGUUAACAUUUCUCAGAGCAGCAUCAAGAUAUCAAUGACACUGCAUUGAAAAGGGAGAACGUUUCCCUUCUAGCCUGUCCCAGGGAAACCCAGAGAGCACAGUUCUUGUGAACCUCCCAGGAGCUCAGGGAAAAGAAAGGAGUGCUACAAAAUACCAGGAAUGUCAUAGCUUCCCCCAAAGUCUUUUCCAUUAGCAAGAUCUGUCUUACUGAAAUGUUUGCUUUUAUAAAGUGGAUAAUCUGGAAGCUGUCUCCUUUCAUCUGACUUUAGGCAAGUCAGGCUGAGAGAAUAAUAAAUUCUUACCCUCUGUUGAAGAAUGUCUUGAUUUUUCUUUCCCGAAAAUACAUAUAACUGGAUGCUAGUUCCGAGAAUGUCAUCAUGCCCUAGGAUUGCUUGAGUAAAUAAGAGGAAUUGUAGCUAUUGCCAAGAUGUUCUUCAUUCCUAUUUUUGGGCAUACUUCUGAAAUUCAUACGUAAGCAACACUCACUGCAAUCAAGGGAAGUUGUAAGUUGUACUUAGGUAAGGACUGAUGCUAAACCUCAUCACAGCAGGAUUUUCUGGAUUUCUGACUCUCAGUCUGAGUCUACAGCUCAAGUCUUGAAGCUGCUCCUCACCCUUACAUUGGUCCACAGCAAAACCACAGAAAGGAACAAAAAUGAACUGUGGGUGGAAAAUCAAACUCUGAGUUGAAAUGUUAGAUGUUGUUAUUCAGGUCCAUCUCAAAUUUAAAUCAGUAGUUCAGAUGGACUGGUUCUGCUGCUCCUACUCCUCCUUUGCCAUGUAGCUCUGUGACAGAAGUGGAACAGAAGUUCUCCUACAUGCAGUAGCAGGAACCUCAGAGAUGCUGCAGAGCACAAGGCUGCUUGUGGCAGUGUGCUGCCCAGCUGCCCCAUGCCAUCAGUAUUACAGCACUAAGACCUAAAAAUGGAGAACGCUGUUUCAUCACACAAAACAAGCUAUUGGGCACUGGGUUGAUAUUAUUUUAGCAUAGGCUUUGCAAUCUUUCUUCUCAAAGGAUUAGGCUGUAGACUGGUAUGUAAACCAGUUUAUAAUCAGCCGAUGUGUUUAAAAGAAGCAUGUAUCUAAGCUAGGUGAACUUAAAGUCUGCUCAUAGGUGGUGGCUGGCUAAUCACUGCCAUUUAUAUACAUCUUUGAUUCUCUGUGAGUGCCUGGCAUGACAUCAGUGAGAAGGAAUAGACUGGGAGGUUCAGGCAUUCGUUGCAAAGGUGGACGUGUGGUGUGCUGAUACGGACAGUGCUGCCUAUCUGAUGACAUGCUGACAGCUGAUACACCCUUACACACAUGCCUGUGCUGUGGGCACACGUUCUGGAAAAUCCAGAGCAUACAGGAUACAUCUGCAUGCAGAAAUGCCCAUACGCAGAAAUUUUUAUUUCAGUAAGAAUUUACUUCUAAAUAGGUAGGUUACUGUGUUUAAACACUGGCAGUGAAUGUAGCUAUGUUUCUGCUGUGAGUCAUACAGUAUUACUUAAAAUAUAUAUAUAUAAUUUUUAAUUGACACAGACACUAUGGUUACUCAGUUAAAGCAGAUUCAGGAGUCCACUUCUGCUAUCAUGGAUCUGUGUGAUAAUACUUGGGAUUAUAUACAUAAUUUGCAUGGAUUCAACAAAUGCCAAAUAACAGUUAGAAGUUGUUUCAGCAAUUCUUCGAAAGAGACUGUUUGUAAGGUAACUUGCACGUAUACGUUUACAUACAGCCAUUUGUCAUUUACGUUCUGACAAUUAUAUCACAUUCAAGGCCAGGCUGGAUGGGGCUUUGAGCAACCUGGUCUAGAGGGAGGCAUCCGUGCCAAUAGCAGGGGGGUUAGAACUAGAUGAUCUUAAAGGUCCCUAAUGACCCAAACCAUUCUUUGACUCUGUGAUUACAUUUACUCAUUUUUGUUAUUUGAAUUAACUGGUAUUUGCACGUACUUUCAUUGAAAAACCACAUAAGCACGUCAACUUCUUCCUGCAAAUUAAAUAAAUAAAAAGUACCAAGCCCAACUUCUUAUACACAUCAGUCCAUAGGAUCUGAAUCUAACCUCAGAGUUCAAAAAGUGCCUGCAUUUGACUUGCUUGGACUUGUAUGUUUUGUGGUAAAUGUUCUGUUUCUUGGCUAGAUACUGAUAUGUGACAUGAUGCUUUACUUUCUUGAUGAAGCAAGCUUUCUGUUGAUCACUGAAACACUAUGAAUCCAACUAAAUUCAAUUUAAAUAGUCUAUUUCAGACCCCACAAGACACAUAUACACAAAAGCAACCUUACUAUCUUCCCCUGUAAUCCACCUUACAUUUCAGUGACUUUACCUGAUUUAUAGCACUGUUACUUUCAUAGCUGCAAUCGUGGCUGUUACCUCAUUUUCCAUUUCAUUCUAAAAGGGUAUGAUUCACUUCAGCUCUGGACAAACCACCAGCACACCUUGAACUCCAGCCACAGGAAAGCAGCGCAUCAUCUGCAUCCUCAGAAGCAUCCUCCGCACUCCCUGGGUGCAGAGGUAGCACAGAUCAUGACUCAGCCUCUCUCCCAGGAGCCACAGCAGCCAGUCCCUGUGACUUCACCGCGUUGCACAUGAAAAGUGCAGGAUCUGUGGCUGCUGCUUCAGUCCCUGUCGCAGCAGAUCUGCAUCUAUUCCCAGGAGGUGGGGAUGUGGGGGAAGGGAAGAUGUCCUGAGUUUCUUUUUCCAAGCCAGUCGUGCUCCUCCUGAGUUCUGAAAUGUAAAGUGGUUGAGUAAAAGCACAUCCUUUUACGGCAUGGAUCCAUAACAGUGCAUUUGGUCAGAGCUGCUGAUGGCUGGGCUAAGUGCAUCUGCUUUAAACUGCACAUUCAGCACCAGCCCAAGUACAAGGGAUUCCAAACAAUUAUAGACAAGAACAGUCAGUUACUCUUCUUAGGGUAAAAAAGAAGAAAAAAAA
ensembl:lncRNA